rnacentral:sRNA from 1 species
AAAUCCGCCGAUCCUUCGUCAUACGGCCGACACGGUAACCAUUUAUUAAGCAAAGCAGCCGAAUAAUUCGUUCAGUUGAUCUGACUACGGAUGUACUAGCAGGUCAAAUAUGAGGCGAAUUGAGGAAAGGUCGGGUUUGUCCCGGCCUUUUUGCUU